rnacentral:misc_RNA from 1 species
GAAAUGCGAUACGUAGUGUGAAUUGCAGAAUUCAGUGAAUCAUCGAAUCUUUGAACGCACAUUGCGCCCUUUGGUAUUCCAAAGGGCAUGCCUGUUCGAGCGUCAUUUGUACCCUCAAGCUUUGCUUGGUGUUGGCCGUUUUUUGUCUUUGGUUUUGUCCAAAGACUCGCCUUAAAACGAUUGGCAGCCGGCCUACUGGUUUCGCAGCGCAGCACAUUUUUGCGCUUGCAAUCAGCAAAAGAGGACGGCACUCCAUCAAGACUCUAUAUCACUUUUGACCUCGGAUCAGGUAGGGAUACCCGCUGAACUUAAGC